UGCGUAGGCGGAUCAAUAAGUCAGUGGUGAAAUCUCUCGGCUCAACCGGGAAACUGCCAUUGAUACUGUUGAUCUUGAGUUCGGUUGAGGUAGGCGGAAUGUGUAAUGUAGCAGUGAAAUGCUUAGAUAUUACACAGAACACCAAUUGCGUAGGCAGCUUACUAGACCGACACUGACGCUGAGGCACGAAAGCGUGGGGAGCGAACAGGAUUAGAUACCCUGGUAGUCC
rnacentral:rRNA from 1 species